GGCUCAGGACGAACGCUGGCGGCGUGCCUAAUACAUGCAAGUCGAGCGGUCCCUUCGGGGAUAGCGGCGGACGGGUGAGUAACACGUAGGCAACCUGCCUGUAAGAUCGGGAUAACUAUCGGAAACGAUAGCUAAGACCGGAUAGCUGGUCUUCUCGCAUGAGAAGAUCAUGAAGCACGGGGCAACCUGUGGCUUACAGAUGGGCCUGCGGCGCAUUAGCUAGUUGGUAGGGUAACGGCCUACCAAGGCGACGAUGCGUAGCCGACCUGAGAGGGUGAACGGCCACACUGGGACUGAGACACGGCCCAGACUCCUACGGGAGGCAGCAGUAGGGAAUCUUCCGCAAUGGACGCAAGUCUGACGGAGCAACGCCGCGUGAGUGAUGAAGGUUUUCGGAUCGUAAAGCUCUGUUGCCCUAGACGAACAGCAAGGAGAGUAACUGCUCUUUGUGUGACGGUAUAGGAGAAGAAAGCCCCGGCUAACUACGUG
rnacentral:rRNA from 1 species